CACGCCUGUAAUCCCAGCACUUUGAGAUGCCAAGGCUGGCAGAUCUCUUGAGCUCAGGAGUUUGAGACCAGCCUGCAAAACACAGUGAAACCCUGCCUCUAUAAAAAAUACAAAAAUUAGGUGGGCAUGGUAGUCUGUGAAUGUAGUUCCAGCUACUUGGGAGGUUGAGGUGGAAGGAUCACUUGACCCCAGGAGGUCAAGGCUGCAGUGAGUCAUGAGUGUGCCACUGCACUCCAGCCUGUGCGACAGAGUGAGACUCCGUCUCAAGAAAAGAAAAGAAAAAGGAAACUGCAACGAUGAACAGAUCAGAAUAGGCGACAUGCACUGAACAAGGUAAAAAAGACAGAAAAUUAUCUGGAGAGGUGGCCGGAGGACACAUCAAGAAGCGCCUUGUACAUUGGAUCCGGUUUUGUUCAGGUGUUCACACGAAUCAUGAGAUUCACAGGAAUGGGAAGCCGAACUCAUUCCCAGCUCCAGAAGUGGAUGCUGAUAUUUUAAACCAAUCACCAGAUGCCAUUCCUUUGAUGAUGAUGAUUAAUUUGUCCAGGGGCAGGUAUGAGACCCAACUUGAACUGGUCAGACAGAAGGGAAGGACAUAAUUCCAAAUGGACACCUGUUCUCUCUCCUACCAGUGAGGAAAAGGAAACGAGAUGUCCAGCUGUUGGCCCCAGUCAUAAGAGGAAGCUGAUGCUGCGGAUGAAGAGUGGAGCAAUGGAAAUAAUCUGGGGUCCAGUAACAUUGCUAAACUACUGAUUCAACUAGCCUUUCUUUUUUUCUUUUCUUUUUCUUUCUUUUCUUUUUUCUUUCUUUUUUUUUUUUUUUAAGAGACAGGGUCUUGCUCUGUCACCUAGGCUGGAGUGCAGUGGUGAGAUUAUAUCUCACUGCAGCCUCCCACUUCUGGGCUCAAAUGAUCUUUCCUCCUCAGCUUCCCAAGUAGCUAGGACUAUAGGUUCAUGCCACCACACUGGGCUAAUUUUUAAAUUUUUUUUGUAGAGACAGGGUCUUGCUAUGUUGCCAAGGCUGGUCUAGAACUCUUGGCCUCAAGUGAUGCACCUUCCUCUUCCUCCCAAAGCACUGGGAUUACAAAGGCAUGAGGCACCAUGCCUGACUAACCAUGAAGACUGCUUUAUCUCUGAAUAAAUCCCCUUUUUUUAAAACCCAGCUUUUGUGAGGGUUUCUGUUACUUGCAGCAAAAGGGUCCUGAUGGACACAGUUGUUUUUGCAAUGUAUGAGAAAUCCUCAAAACUGGCUUUUCCCAUGCUUGCCUUCCUCUCCGUUACACGCACUGCCUAAAGCAAAGUGACUGCUUCCUCGGGAGUCAGGUUUUAAGGUCCCUGGGGUAGUUCUGCUUCCACAGUUUAGGUUUACCAAGAGGCAGAUAUGUUUGUCCACGAGCUGGUUUUGCCAGUUGCACUUGUUUUUGUAAUUAUGUAAAGCAAUGAAAUAUGAGUGAGGGAAAGAAUUGCUGUUGUCCAAAAUCCAAACUGAAUGCUUUCCAUAAACAGUAAAGACAAGUUGCUUAGAAAACAAAGCAAAUACAAAACAAUCUUAGAGUUUCAUGCAGGUGAGGCAAGUGUAAAAUAAUUGGAAAAUUUUGUUAAAUCUAGAAUAAUUCUGAACUCAGAUUGUUCCCCAACUGUCCUUCAGUUCUGGCUCUACUUUAAAGCUAUUGGGACUGAAAACCACUGACUUUUUAAAUGACUACACAUGACUCCUAUUAGAUGUCACAUGUCUUAAAAGAGGCCUUAUCCCUUCAAAAUACUGUCAAAUGAAAGAAUAUUUAUAUGUUUUACUUUAGUAAAAUAUUAAAAAUGUUUUCCAUUUUUAAUGUUUCUUUGCUCUAACUGACUAACUGCUUUAACUGAUUACCCAACUAGCUACCAGUCUGGUGGCUUCUGAGUAAAUGUACCCCUGUUCCUCUUUAGCCCCUUCUCCUACCUGGUCAACCUACUGCCCUCAGUCUCUUUCCUUUCUCCAUCUUGUCAGCAUAGAACAGUACAGCAUCAAUAACAACUGAUUUUUGCAAAAUUAUAAUUACAAUAGCAAGAGUAUUUUUCUUUUUUUUUUUGUUUUGAGAUGGAGUAUCGCUCUGUCGCCCAGGCUGUUGUGCGGUGGCAUGAUCUCGGCUCACUGCAAGCUCCAUCUCCUGGGUUCACUCCAUUCUCCUGCCUCAGCCUCCCGAGUAGCUGGGACUACAGGCGACCGCCACCACGCCCGGCUAAUUUUUUUGUAUUUUUAGUGGAGACAGGGUUUCACCGUGUUAGCCAGGAUGGGCUCGAUCUCCUGACCUUGUGAUCCGCCUGCCUCGGCCUCCCAAAGUGCUGGGAUUACAGGCAUGAGCCACUGUGCCUGGCCGAGUAUUUUUCAUUUUAAUAAAAGUUCUGGGAGGAUCUACACUAAAGUGUUAACUGCUAUUUCUGCAUGAAGAGACUGUGGAUUUUUUUCUUAUUUUCAUGUAUGAGGAUAAUAAUGAUGUGUACUAGUAUUGACUUGGUUAUAACAAACUAAAAAUAAUCUUUUAACCCAAGAACAAAGAAUAUUUUGUCUUUUUAUGAGAAUUUACUUUUUACAGAGAACUUUUAGAUCCAUUGAAUCAAUGGUACUUCACAACUACACUGCAAAGAAAACAUUUAUUCCUGCUUCCCGAUGAGGAAACCAAAAUGGGAGAAGGGGAAACCAUGUGGCCUCAGAUGACAAAGCAAGUAAGAAAUAGAGCCUGUUUAGAUGCCCAGGUCCCUGAUGUCUGCUUCAAGUAGUUUUUCGUUUCCCUCAGCAUCACUAAAGAUUUAAUGAAAGCAGAUUGAUCAUAGCUAAAUAUGCUUCCUCUGACAGAAUGAAGAGCAUUUGGCAAUGUAAAAAAAUAGAGUUUUAAGUGAUGAAAGCGCAAGUCCAGAAGGAGACUGGGAGAGGAGGAAGGCCUUCACAGCACUGUUGGGUACUUCCAUACAAGGCCAGUGUCACGUAGGAUACGGUGGCUUCCUUUCUUGAUCAACCACCCCCCAAGACUUCAAAUCAGCUCUGUUAGUCUGUACUGGAAAAUGUGGGCCCACUGUUUAACCUCUUUGGGCUUCAUCAUUGUGUUCUAUUAAAUAGGAGUGAUGAUAGUCACAAGAUUGUUGUCAGAAUUUGAAAUGUUGAUGUAUAUAAAGCCCUUAACACAGCAGCUGAUGGGUUCUAGCAUUGUCAUCAUAAUAAAAACUAGUAAUACUGUUAGUAGUAAUCACACCACUGCUGCUUUAACGGGAAGUAGCAGACUUGCUGAGGGCUACCAGGCUGAUGGGCACUAAUGCUGGAAGAUCAUGAAUCAGAACAAUACACUCUAAGGAUUCAUCAAAACUAUUAUAAUUUUUCUAAGCUUAUCUCAGUUCUCUUCAUUCUUAUGCUGAGAAUUUGACUUCUCAGAGUUUUUUGGGCAACCUCUUUAUCACCUUUAUCAUCUAUUUUAUAAGAAUUAUCACCUCCACUACCACAAACCUCAUUGGUAGUGUUAGACAGAUCACUGAGGCAGAAAGCGAACACAGAAAUUCUGGACUUAAAUUCAACACUUGACCAAAUUGUACCUAAUAGACAUCUAUAGAAUACUCCACCCACUGACAACAGAGUAUAGUCUUCUCAUCUGCAUAUGAACACACUCCAAGAACAACUACAUGCUCAACUAUAAACCAAGUCUUAAUAAAUUCAAAAAAUUUCAAAAUAAUACCAAUCAUAUUCUUGGACCACACUGGAAUAAAAACAGAAAUCAAUACCAAGAUGAUCUUUCAAAAACCACACAAUUACAUGGAAAUUAAACAAUUUGCACUGGAUUGGCUUCUAAACAAUGAAUUUAAGGCAGGAAUAAAAAAAUUAUUUGAAAUAAAUGAAAACAGAGACACAACAUACCAAAAUCUCUGGGAUGCAACAAAAGUAGUGUCAACAAGACAGUUAAUAGCCCUAAAUGCCUAACUCAAAAGGUACAGAGGUCUCAAAUUAACAAUCUAGCAUCACACUUAGAGGAGCUAGAAAGACAAGAAGAAACAACUCUAAAGCUAGCACAAGAAAAGAAAUAACUAGGACUGGGCAUGUUGGCUCAUGCCUAUAAUCCCAGCAGUUUGGGAGGCCAAAGUGGAAAAAUGAUUAAGUCCAGGAGUUUGAGACCAGCCUGGGCAAGGUGGUAAGACCACAGGGCAACACUGCAAAACCCCAUCUCUACCAAAGUAAAAACAAAAAUAAAUAUUAGCCAGGCAUGAUGGUGUGUGCCUGUAGUCCCAGCUACUUGCAAGGCUGAGGUGGGAGGAUUGCUUGAGCCCAGGAGUUCAAGGCUGCAGUGAGGUAUGAUCAUGCUACUCCCCACCAGCCUGGAUAACAGAGCAAGACCCUGUUGAAAGAAAAAAGAAAGAGGAAAGAAAGAAAGAAGGAAAGAAAGAAAGAAAGAAAGAAAGAAAGAAGAAAGAAAAAGAAAGAGAAAGAAAAAGAAAGAAAAGAAAGAAAAAAGAAAAAGAGAAAGGAGGGAAG
rnacentral:lncRNA from 10 species